CCUACGGGGGGCUGCAGUAGGGAAUUUUCGGCAAUGGGGGGAACCCUGACCGAGCAAUGCCGCGUGAAUGAAGACGAUCUUCGGAUUGUAAAGUUCUGUUAUUGGGAAAGAAAGAUAUGAUCAGGAAAUGGGUUAUAUUUGACGGUACCUGAUUAGAAAGCCCCGGCUAACUAUGUGCCAGCAGCCGCGGUAAUACAUAGGGGGCAAGCGUUAUCCGGAAUUAUUGGGCGUAAAGAGUGCGUAGGCGGUUGACUAAGUCUGGUGUAAAAUCCCACAGCUUAACUGUGGAGGGUCAUUGGAAACUGGUUAACUAGAGUACGGUAGAGGUAAGCGGAAUUCCAAGUGGAGCGGUAAAAUGCGUAGAUAUUUGGAGGAACACCGGUGGCGAAGGCGACUUACUGGGCCGGAACUGACGCUGAUGCACGAAAGCGUGGGGAGCAAACAGGCUUAGAUACCCCUGUAGUC
rnacentral:rRNA from 1 species